GACGAACGCUGGCGGCGUGCUUAACACAUGCAAGUCGAACGGAAAGGCCCUGCUUGUGUGCGGUUCUCGAGUGGCGAACGGGGGAGUAACACGUGAGUAACCUGCCCUUGACUUUGGGAUAACUUCAGGAAACUGGGGCUAAUACCGGAUAGGAUCUCCUGCUGCAUGGUGAGGGUUGGAAAGUUUCGGCGGGUGGGGAUGGACUCGCGGCUUAUCAGCUUGUUGGUGGGGUAGUGGUUGACCAAGGCUUUGAAGGGUAGCCGGCCUGGGAGGGUGACCGGCCACAUUGGGCCUACGGGACGGACCAGAGUCCUACGGGAGGCAGCAGUGGCGAAUAUUGCACAGUGGGCGCACGCGUGAUGAAGAGACGCCGCGUGCGGGAUGCCGGCCUUCGGGUUGUAAAACGCUUUAGCCUGUGACGAAGCGUGAGUGACGGUAAUGGGUAAAGAAGCACCGGCUAACUACGUG
rnacentral:rRNA from 1 species